UACGUAGGUGGCAAGCGUUGUCCGGAUUUACUGGGCGUAAAGAGCGCGCAGGCGGUCGUUCAAGUCGCGUGUGAAAGCCCCCGGCUCAACUGGGGAGGGUCACGCGAUACUGAUCGACUCGAAGGCAGGAGAGGGUAGUGGAAUUCCCGGUGUAGUGGUGAAAUGCGUAGAUAUCUGGAGGAACACCGGUGGCGAAGGCGGCAUCCUGGACCGAAAUUGACGCUGAGGCGCGAAAGCCAGGGGAGCAAACGGG
rnacentral:rRNA from 1 species